CAUUUUUUUACCUGAAGUGUCAGUGGGAUGGGAUCCUAAUGAACUGGAAACCUGGUUGAGGAAAGAAAGAAAUGGGCCAUCUCUGUUAUGGUGGUUACCAUAUUUAGAAGAUUCAAUACCUUGGAGAGUUUCUAGAAAAGACCAUUCUUUUGGUGCAUAUAUGUCCACAGUGAUAGACAAACAUGAAAAUGCAGGGUCCUACUCCAUCUGAAUUCAGGAGAGAAACAUCACCAUCCUACAAUGUGAGGAGAGCCCUCAUUCAUAUUAGUCUCUUUAAAACACUUACCCAGAGGAAGAAGGGGAGGAGGAAGCAAAGACAGCAGUAGGAGUGGUGAAGAUAACAGCCGUAGAACCCACAUCACCUACAUGCCACUAAAGAAACCCAGAAUUGUU